rnacentral:misc_RNA from 1 species
GUACUUUUUACUUAAUUCUACCUUCAUACUGCAAGAUUGGAAAAUAUUUUAUUGAAAAAUGUUUCUUGGACUAUUAGAUGACAAGUAACUUAAUAUGAUAUUGAUUUUUUUUUUUUCGAUUGCAUGUCCUUCAUGUACUACUUUAAAUCAAAAUAUAGGCAUGUGUCUUCUCUCCAGAAUUAAUACGCCUGCUUAAAAUUAUUUUUGUUUGAAAGUCUUUUCCAGUUAAGAUGAA